GGGGGAAUAUUGCACAAUGGGCGCAAGCCUGAUGCAGCCAUGCCGCGUGUAUGAAGAAGGCCUUCGGGUUGUAAAGUACUUUCAGUCGGGAGGAAGGUGGUAAGGUUAAUAACCUUGGCAAUUGACGUUACCGACAGAAGAAGCACCGGCUAACUCCGUGCCAGCAGCCGCGGUAAUACGGAGGGUGCAAGCGUUAAUCGGAAUUACUGGGCGUAAAGCGCACGCAGGCGGUUGAUUGAGUCAGAUGUGAAAUCCCCGGGCUUAACCCGGGAAUUGCAUCUGAUACUGGUCAGCUAGAGUCUUGUAGAGGGGGGUAGAAUUCCAUGUGUAGCGGUGGAAUGCGUAGAGGUGUGGAGGAAUACCGGUGGCGAAGGCGGCCCCCUGGACAAAGACUGACGCUCCGGUGCGAAAGCGUGGGGAGCAAACAGG
rnacentral:rRNA from 1 species